rnacentral:rRNA from 1 species
GGGUUGUGAGGUUAAGCGACUAAGCGUACACGGUGGAUGCCCUGGCAGUCAGAGGCGAUGAAGGACGUGCUAAUCUGCGAUAAGCGCCGGUAAGGUGAUAUGAACCGUUAUAACCGGCGAUUUCCGAAUGGGGAAACCCAGUGUGAUUCGUCACACUAUCAUUAACUGAAUCCAUAGGUUAAUGAGGCGAACCGGGGGAACUGAAACAUCUAAGUACCCCGAGGAAAAGAAAUCAACCGAGAUUCCCCCAGUAGCGGCGAGCGAACGGGGAGGAGCCCAGAGCCUGAAUCAGCAUGUGUGUUAGUGGAAGCGUCUGGAAAGGCGCGCGAUACAGGGUGACAGCCCCGUACACAAAAGCGCAUGUGCUGUGAGCUCGAUGAGUAGGGCGGGACACGUGGUAUCCUGUCUGAAUAUGGGGGGACCAUCCUCCAAGGCUAAAUACUCCUGACUGACCGAUAGUGAACCAGUACCGUGAGGGAAAGGCGAAAAGAACCCCGGCGAGGGGAGUGAAAAAGAACCUGAAACCGUGUACGUACAAGCAGUGGGAGCACAGGUUUACCUGUGUGACUGCGUACCUUUUGUAUAAUGGGUCAGCGACUUAUAUUCUGUAGCAAGGUUAACCGAAUAGGGGAGCCGGAGGGAAACCGAGUCUUAAUUGGGCGUUAAGUUGCAGGGUAUAGACCCGAAACCCGGUGAUCUAGCCAUGGGCAGGUUGAAGGUUGGGUAACACUAACUGGAGGACCGAACCGACUAAUGUUCAACAAUUAGCGGAUGACCUGUGGC